rnacentral:lncRNA from 1 species
UAUAAUUUUGUAAAAAACUUAAGAAUACAGAAAAAAAUAAUUUUGUUCUUCUGGUUUCGAUAAUUAAGCAUAAGAAAUGAAUAAUUUGGUGAAUUUAUUUUCUUUUUUGGGGUACAUUACACUUUUGGUUUGUAAUUUCUGACUUAAACUUUUUGAAUUAUUACGAUUAAUGCCCUACAAUCUAUUAAUUUUUUUUGACAAAAUAUUGAUGAAUUACUUAUAAAAGUGAUGUAGCAUUUUUAUUACUGUUGUAUCAUUAAUUACGAUAUUGCUAUACAACUCAUA